CACUAGACCACCUGCUCCUGGCACAACUUGUCAUGUGCAGCGUUUGAGGCGUUGCUGCUCGGAGGCGGAGGCUAGCGUCUGCCGGAGGAGGUCCAUCUCCUCGUUCAUCAGACUCCUCUGGGGGGUGACCUCCCUCUGCUGCAAUGGUCUCCUCGGUGUCUCUCAGGGUCUUCAGGUAUUCUUUCACCUGCUGGCGGAGGCGACGGUGUUUGCCCUUCAAAACCUUGGCAGCAUUGCAGAGGAAGCGCUGCUGUUUCCUCAGCGCUCCGUUCUCCUUCUCUGGGCUCCUCCAGCAGGUGUGGAAGGCGUCCUCGUGGCUCCUCCUCUCCCCUGCGGCCGCAUGCGCCCUGGCCAGCUCCUGAUGGUCGCCACCAGCCGGAACGGCACCACACAAAGCCCCAC